ensembl:rRNA n-R5s210 nuclear encoded rRNA 5S 210
GUCUAUGGCCAUACCACCCUGAACAUGCCUGAUCUCAUCUGAUCUCGGAAGCUAAGCAGGGUCGGGCCUUGUUAGUACUUGGAUGGGAGACCGCCUGAAAAUACCAGGUUCUGUAGGCU